rnacentral:rRNA from 1 species
GAUGAACGCUGGCGGCGUGCCUAAUACAUGCAAGUCGAGCGAACAGACGAGGAGCUUGCUCCUCUGACGUUAGCGGCGGACGGGUGAGUAACACGUGGAUAACCUACCUAUAAGACUGGGAUAACUUCGGGAAACCGGAGCUAAUACCGGAUAAUAUUUUGAACCGCAUGGUUCAAUAGUGAAAGACGGUUUUGCUGUCACUUAUAGAUGGAUCCGCGCCGCAUUAGCUAGUUGGUAAGGUAACGGCUUACCAAGGCACCGAUGCGUAGCCGACCUGAGAGGGUGAUCGGCCACACUGGAACUGAGACACGGUCCAGACUCCUACGGGAGGCAGCAGUAGGGAAUCUUCCGCAGUGGGCGAAAGCCUGACGGAGCAACGCCGCGUGAGUGAUGAAGGUCUUCGGAUCGUAAAACUCUGUUAUUAGGGAAGAACAAAUGUGUAAGUAACUAUGCACGUCUUGACGGUACCUAAUCAGAAAGCCACGGCUAACUACGUG